AUAAAAAACCCAUAGUUUUACUUUCAUUUAAUUUGGAUUUUCAGGAAAAAUGGAGCAUCCGGAAGUUCCUCCAAAAUAUGUAAAGCAUUUGUCCCAAAUUGAAGCCUUAUUUAUCUUAAACCUUAUUUUCUAUCCAAGAGUAAAUUUCUGCAUGCAUAUGUUCUUGAUCAGUGGGAUAUGAAUUCUGAAUCAUUUUGACUGGACUUCACUUUAUCCGAACACUGGUUCAUCAAGUAUGAGGAAUCAUAGGGAUGCUGUUGAAAUUCUAAAAUAUGAAAGUGCAGAGCAAAUGCAAAGGGUUGCUUAAUUAAUGCAUUGGCGGGUCAUGCUACUAUCCCAUCUUAUUCUUUUUGUUAUGUAAUUCUGCCUUCAUUUUCUUUUCGUGGAUAUAAAGGAUUAAUUUUGAUUCAAUGUGCAGAAGUUAUUAGAACAAACAUUAAAAACCAAAACAAUGUCAUGGCAGCAAUUACUUGAUUGGCUUGACAGAAUUCGCAUUCGCAGAACCACAAUUAAUGGGUUGGGCCUUCCACACAAGAAUUUCCUCACAUUGGAUUACAACUUUGGAGUCUGCUGCCAGAAGAUUCAUAAAAAUUGGUGGGACAGUAAAAACAUAGUGCAAGCACUCUACUUCAAUUCUGUGUUCAAAAACAAGCAAUGCAAUGAAUAAUGCCAAAAUAUCAUCAAUGUCAAAACCCUCCAUGCAGCAGUCAUCUUCACAACUUCACUGGCGGCAAAGACGACAGAGAUGCUCUAGCCUGUGCAGGUUGUGUCCUCAGCAUCCCAGAGAAAAGCUCACAGGUAUAAGAUUCCGGCUUGAUGACGAUUCAGAGAAAAUCUCUGAAAAGCUGGCAGUUAUAAAAUAAAUCUUGUUGAGCUGGAAGCAGAAAUGAAACAUGUUGUAUUAGAGUGGUUCUCUGCUGCCAUAAUUUCCCAAGUUGUGUGUACCAUUUUUGGUGGUUUUGGACUUCACAAAUGCAACAUGUUGGUCUUGUAACUGUCCCAUAUUUUUUCACUUAACACAUAAGCCAUAGGUUGGGUGUUCCAUGGGGUUGAUCUGUUGAUCAAGGUCUUAGUUUGGCUUACUUUGUUAAGUUUUUCCUGAAUUUCUCUAAUAAAAUCUGACUUAUCCAAAAAAGAAAUGAAGCUGGACGAUGAGAGUUUUGCUCACUUCUUUGAAAACAUGUUUCAGGGUUUAGUUU